GACCCGGUGGCGAGAGGUAUCGCCCACUUCACGUAAAAACGUCAUGUGUCUCAUCGAAGAGGGAGCCCCUGGUUCGAAUCCAGGCUGGGUCA